rnacentral:rRNA from 1 species
GAGGAAUAUUGGUCAAUGGGCGAGAGCCUGAACGAGCCAAGUCGCGUGAAGGAAGAAGGAUCUAUGGUUCGUAAACUUCUUUUGCAGGGGAAUAAAGUGCAGGACGUGUCCUGUUUUGUAUGUACCCUGAGAAUAAGGAUCGGCUAACUCCGUGCCAGCAGCCGCGGUAAUACGGAGGAUCCGAGCGUUAUCCGGAUUUAUUGGGUUUAAAGGGUGCGUAGGUGGUUUGAUAAGUCAGCGGUGAAAGUUUGCAGCUCAACUGUAAAAGUGCCUUCGAAACUGGUUUCCUUGAGUGCGGAUAAGGUAGGCGGAAUUUGUGGUGUAGCGGUGAAAUGCAUAGAUAUCACGAGGAACUCCGAUUGCGAAGGCAGCUCACUGGAGUGUAACUGACGCUGAUGCUCGAAAGUGUGGGUAUCAAACA